rnacentral:rRNA from 1 species
AUUGAACGCUGGCGGCAUGCCUUACACAUGCAAGUCGAACGGCAGCACGGACUUCGGUCUGGUGGCGAGUGGCGAACGGGUGAGUAAUAUAUCGGAACAUACCUUGUAGUGGGGGAUAACUAUCCGAAAGGAUAGCUAAUACCGCAUACGCUCUACGGAGGAAAGUGGGGGAUCGCAAGACCUCAUGCUAUAAGAGUGGCCGAUAUCUGAUUAGCUAGUUGGUGAGGUAAAGGCUCACCAAGGCGACGAUCUGUAGCUGGUCUGAGAGGACGACCAGCCACACUGGGACUGAGACACGGCCCAGACUCCUACGGGAGGCAGCAGUGGGGAAUUUUGGACAAUGGGCGCAAGCCUGAUCCAGCCAUGCCGCGUGAGUGAUGAAGGCCUUAGGGUUGUAAAGCUCUUUUUGUCCGGGAAGAUAAUGACUGUACCGGAAGAAUAAGCCCCGGCUAACUUCGUGCCAGCAG